rnacentral:rRNA from 1 species
AACGAACGCUGGCGGCAGGCUUAACACAUGCAAGUCGAGCGCCCCGCAAGGGGAGCGGCAGACGGGUGAGUAACGCGUGGGAAUCUACCCAUCUCUACGGAAUAACGCAUGGAAACGUGUGCUAAUACCGUAUACGUCCUUCGGGAGAAAGAUUUAUCGGAGAUGGAUGAGCCCGCGUUGGAUUAGCUAGUUGGUGGGGUAAAGGCCUACCAAGGCGACGAUCCAUAGCUGGUCUGAGAGGAUGAUCAGCCACACUGGGACCGAGACACGGCCCAGACUCCUACGGGAGGCAGCAGUGGGGAAUAUUGGACAAUGGGCGCAAGCCUGAUCCAGCCAUGCCGCGUGAGUGAUGAAGGCCCUAGGGUUGUAAAGCUCUUUCACCGGUGAAGAUAAUGACGGUAACCGGAGAAGAAGCCCCGGCUAACUUCGUGGCAGCAGCCGCCGUAACAC